ensembl:lncRNA
CUCCAGGCCUGAAUGUGUAGUCAAAGUAGCAUCAACAGGGUGUGGGCCAUUACACCUCAUUAUGAAAAUCAAAAGGACUGAAAACAAAAGAGACAUCUCAGCUUGUCACCAUGCUAUUCCUCCUUGCUGUAUGUAUGGUAACUGUGAGUCACACCCUGAACCACUGAUUGAGCACCUGGGUAAAGGACCAGGCCAGCCCUAGGAGCACAGCUGAAGGCAAUUCACCUGUGCAACUGGAAGAGGUGGAGCCUGGCUGCACCUCUCUUAGACCCCCCCAUUUAAGGGCUGACUGGCCCUGGGAGAAGGAUCUCUGGUUGGAGAUCGUUCCUUUGUGGAGUCUUUCUUGUGAGCCUAGAUCUUCAGAGAUGGAAUACUGAGAAGAUCCAUACUAUGUCUGCUAGUAGGAGUUACUGGCAAGUGUUGAUAUCUCUCUUUUGGCUCUAAUUUGGGCCUCAGGUUGCUGCAGUGUGAGUACUUCUCCAAAUAAACACAUCUGUUUUAUACCUUAAUCAAGAAAUACGUACGUUGUUGUAUGGUUACUUUCAAGUUUAUGAGAGAAGUUACAUGCCUCAGGAUAUGUACUCCUUCAGUUGUUUUUUAAUGUUUAUUUACAGAGCUGCCAUCCUGGUUCCCCAUGUUGCUAAUGUCAGCCAGCUCUCCUGGAGUCCUUUGAGAAGGACAACAGAAAACUACGGCAGCAACUAGAAUAAAUAGGGAAUAUGAACUACGUUUCUUCCUUUUUCACUCCAAGAAGGAAGACAAAGAAGUAUGGUACACUACAUCUGUGACAUGGUAAAAACCUCAGGUGGGAAGCAGAGAUUCCAACGCAGCAUACCAGUUGCUUUGAUGGUAGCAUGGAUGGAGUAAGUGUCAGUACUCAGAAGCUUAAUCUAGCUUUAUUGGUCUUUCAUACAAAAAAAAAAACCCUAAAUUUGAUAUUUCAGACCCUCACUAAAGUUAUUGCUUGAAUUUACUUAUUUUAAAAUGUAUUUGAACACUUGUUUCCUUUCAAGAAUGAGCCUGUCACUAAUAAAGCAGUUAAAAAGUAAAUUAUUUCCCUCUCUUUCUGCUGGUUCUCUUUUUGUUAUUUCAGGUAUGAUCUGUCCAGUACAAAGAACCAGUUGUGUAGGUUUCUGAGAUGUUUUGUAUCGAACUGUCAAUGGUAUUCAGAUUUAUUUAAGAAAUCCUCCCCUUCAUUGAGGGUUACUGCCCUGAUGCUGGGUUAGCCUGC